UACCAGCCAUGCCGCGUGUGUGAAGAAGGCCUUUUGGUUGUAAAGCACUUUAAGCGAGGAGGAGGCUACUCUAGUUAAUACCUAGAGAUAGUGGACGUUACUCGCAGAAUAAGCACCGGCUAACUCUGUGCCAGCAGCCGCGGUAAUACAGAGGGUGCAAGCGUUAAUCGGAUUUACUGGGCGUAAAGCGCGCGUAGGUGGCCAAUUAAGUCAAAUGUGAAAUCCCCGAGCUUAACUUGGGAAUUGCAUUCGAUACUGGUUGGCUAGAGUAUGGGAGAGGAUGGUAGAAUUCCAGGUGUAGCGGUGAAAUGCGUAGAGAUCUGGAGGAAUACCGAUGGCGAAGGCAGCCAUCUGGCCUAAUACUGACACUGAGGUGCGAAAGCAUGGGGAGCAAACAGGAUUAGAUACCCUGGUAGUCCAUGCCGUAAACGAUGUCUACUAGCCGUUGGGGCCUUUGAGGCUUUAGUGGCGCAGCUAACGCGAUAAGUAGACCGCCUGGGGAGUACGGUCGCAAGACU
rnacentral:rRNA from 1 species